rnacentral:rRNA from 1 species
UACGUAGGUGGCAAGCGUUGUCCGGAUUUACUGGGCGUAAAGAGCUCGUAGGCGGUGUGUCACGUCGGCCGUGAAAACCUGCAGCUUAACUGUGGGCGUGCGGUCGAUACGGGCAUCACUGGAGUUCGGCAGGGGAGACUGGAAUUCCUGGUGUAGCGGUGAAAUGCGCAGAUAUCAGGAGGAACACCGGUGGCGAAGGCGGGUCUCUGGGCCGAUACUGACGCUGAGGAGCGAAAGCGUGGGGAGCGAACAGG